rnacentral:rRNA from 1 species
UACGUAGGGUGCAAGCGUUGUCCGGAAUUAUUGGGCGUAAAGAGCUCGUAGGCGGUCCGUCGCGUCGAAUGUGAAAACCCGGGGCUCAACCCCGGGCCUGCAUUCGAUACGGGCGGACUAGAGUUCGGUAGGGGAGACUGGAAUUCCUGGUGUAGCGGUGAAAUGCGCAGAUAUCAGGAGGAACACCGGUGGCGAAGGCGGGUCUCUGGGCCGAUACUGACGCUGUAGAGCGAAAGCGUGGGGAGCGAACAGG